UACGGAGGGUGCAAGCGUUGCUCGGAAUUAUUGGGCGUAACGCGCACGCAGGCGGCAGGGUAAGUCAGUUGUGAAACUCCCGGGCUUAACUUGGGAACUGCAGCUGAUACUGCCAUGCUUGAGUACGGAAGAGGGGAGCGGAAUUCCCAGUGUAGAGGUGAAAUUCGUAGAUAUUGGGAGGAAUACCGAUGGCGAAGGCAGGUCUCUGGGCUGACACUGACGCUCAUGCACGAAAGCGUGGGGAGCAAACAGG
rnacentral:rRNA from 1 species